GGGAGUUUGGCCGAGUGGUUAAGGCGCUGUGUUUAGGUUAUUCCUGAUAAUCUAUUAACCGCAGUGGGAAACCGCGCAGGUUCGAGUCCUGCAGCUCUCA
rfam:Pseudomassariella vexata strain CBS 129021 BCR38scaffold_12, whole genome shotgun sequence.